rnacentral:rRNA from 1 species
UACGUAGGGGGCCAGCGUUGUUCGGAAUUACUGGGUGUAAAGGGUUCGUAGGCGGUGUGGCAAGUUGGGAGUGAAAUCUCUGGGCUCAACCCAGAGACGGCUUCCAAAACUGCCGUGCUUGAGUGUGGGAGAGGCUCGUGGAAUUGCAGGUGUAGCGGUGAAAUGCGUAGAUAUCUGGAGGAACACCGGUGGCGAAGGCGGCAUCCUGGACCAAUUCUGACACUGAGGAGCGAAAGCCAGGGGAGCAAACGGG